UCCUGGUUAGCUCAGUUGGUAGAGCUCUCCACUUAAAAUGGAGAGGUCCUUGGUUGGAUACCAGGAUCAGGCG
rfam:Ixodes scapularis strain Wikel colony gcontig_1108378343988, whole genome shotgun sequence.